CCCUAGCCCCGAUUGAAGUGGAAAUCCUUUUCUAGCUUUUGCAAAAAGCUAGAAAAGAUUGCAACGAAAAGCGGGAAAAAGC
rnacentral:sRNA from 1 species